rnacentral:rRNA from 1 species
AUUGAACGCUGGCGGCAUGCUUUACACAUGCAAGUCGAACGGUAACAGGCCGCAAGGUGCUGACGAGUGGCGCACGGGUGAGUAAUGCAUCGGAACGUGCCCAGUCGUGGGGGAUGACUACUCGAAAGAGUAGCUAAUACCGCAUACGAUCUAUGGAUGAAAGCGGGGGACCGUAAGGCCUCGCGCGAUUGGAGUGGCCGAUGUCAGAUUAGGUAGUUGGUGGGGUAAAGGCUCACCAAGCCAACGAUCUGUAGCUGGUCUGAGAGGACGACCAGCCACACUGGGACUGAGACACGGCCCAGACUCCUACGGGAGGCAGCAGUGGGGAAUUUUGGACAAUGGGCGCAAGCCUGAUCCAGCAAUGCCGCGUGCAGGAAGAAGGCCUUCGGGUUGUAAACUGCUUUUGUACGGAACGAAACGGCUCUGGUUAAUACCCGGGGCUAAUGACGGUACCGUAAGAAUAAGCACCGGCUAACUACGUG